UCUUCCCAUCUCAAAAAGUUCCCAGCCUAGUUAUGUUUAAUAAAAAAUAACUUAUUUACCUAAGUUUUAACAUCAUCUCCUUCGGAAUAGUUACCUUGCGCAGCAAUAAACAGGUCCCAGCGUUCCUGUUACAUUUGGAAUCCAGCCUG